rnacentral:rRNA from 1 species
UGGGGAAUUUUCCGCAAUGGGCGCAAGCCUGACGGAGCAACGCCGCGUGAGGGAGGAAGGCCUGUGGGUUGUAAACCUCUUUUCUCAAGGAAGAACACAAUGACGGUACUUGAGGAAUCAGCAUCGGCUAACUCCGUGCCAGCAGCCGCGGUAAGACGGAGGAUGCAAGCGUUAUCCGGAAUUAUUGGGCGUAAAGCGUCCGUAGGUGGUUAUAAAAGUCUGUUGUUAAAGCCCACAGCUCAACUGUGGAUCGGCAAUGGAAACUGUAUGACUUGAGUGUGGUAGGGGUAGAGGGAAUUCCUAGUGUAGCGGUGAAAUGCGUAGAUAUUAGGAAGAACACCAGUGGCGAAGGCGCUCUACUGGGCCAUAACUGACACUGAUGGACGAAAGCUAGGGGAGCGAAAG